UUCAACGAAAAAGAACGAUGAGAAAGAAAAGCUUUUUUCUUCGUGAACCUUUUGGCUUGGAUUCUGUAAAUGGCACUGGAAGAAUUCACGGGGGUUUUAAGCGAUUGGCCCGUGGAGCUCCCGUGUCAUACACAGCGUCCGGCCUUCCAGCGUGCAGUUAAAUCGUUCUGCCGAUAAGGAACGCAAAAGGGAAAGAAAUUACCUGGCCGUCGUCUUCGUUUUGCACAAUCGCUAUCGGUUCGUAAAUACGGAACGUUCUUAUUUAUCGGCUCUCUGACCGAAGUUACGGAGGUAGGAGAAACCGAUUCGAUUCAAGAGAGAUCGAAUGAAUCGAAUCGCGACGAUCGAAGAUCAUUGAAUCUUGAUAAUAUCAUUUUCUUUUGGAAUCGUCAACGAUAUCGCAUGUCAAUUUUCAAGAGACGUAGGGGCUCAUCCGGUCAUCCACGUGGAUAUUCAUUCGACUUAGCAACGAGGAGAACGAGCAACGACCUCCGUCUCGUCGUCGGAAGGCACGCAGUAGCGGCCCGACUUUACUCGAUUCGAAAGGAUGGAAGGUGUAAUACCAUGGGAAGAAAAGACGGACAGAAAGAGAAAGAUGGAUAGAUAGAGAGAGAGAGAGAGAGAGAGAGAGAGAGAGAGAGAGAGAGAAGGAGAAAAAUAAAUAAAGAGGGAAGAAAGAUGGCGAACUCGCUGGAACUACAUUUACUUUUCUUUGGAAAAAUUGAAGGCUAGCAAGCGAGAUAUGGCGCUCGGUCUAUGGCAGGUGGACUCGUAUGGAAUCGAUAUUUGAAUGCAAG